GAUGAACGCUAGCUACAGGCUUAACACAUGCAAGUCGAGGGGCAGCAUGAACUUAGCUUGCUAAGUUUGAUGGCGACCGGCGCACGGGUGAGUAACACGUAUCCAACCUUCCGUUUACUCAGGGAUAGCCUUUCGAAAGAAAGAUUAAUACCUGAUAGUAUGGUGAGAUUGCAUGAUAACACCAUUAAAGAUUUAUUGGUAAACGAUGGGGAUGCGUUCCAUUAGGUAGUAGGCGGGGUAACGGCCCACCUAGCCUGCGAUGGAUAGGGGUUCUGAGAGGAAGGUCCCCCCACAUUGGAACUGAGACACGGUCCAAACUCCUACGGGAGGCAGCAGUGAGGAAUAUUGGUCAAUGGGCGAGAGCCUGAACCAGCCAAGUAGCGUGCAGGAUGACGGCCCUAUGGGUUGUAAACUGCUUUUGUACUAGGGUAAACUCACCUACGUGUAGGUGACUGAAAGUAUAGUACGAAUAAGGAUCGGCUAACUCCGUGCCAGCAGCCGACGG
rnacentral:rRNA from 1 species